AGAGUUUGAUCCUGGCUCAGGAUGAACGCUGGCGGCGUGCUUAAGACAUGCAAGUCGAACGCAGUCGGGCCGCAAGGUCCGGCUGAGUGGCGAAUGGGUGCGUAACACGUAGGUGACCUGCCCGAAAGUGGGGAAUAACAGUCCGAAAGGACUGCUAAUACCGCAUGUGAGGCUCGGGUUAGAGGCCCGGGCCUGAAAGGUGCGAGCAAUCGUGCCGCUUUCGGAGGGGCCUGCGGCCCAUCAGCCAGUUGGUAGGGUAAUGGCCUACCAAGGCAACGACGGGUAGGGGACCUGAGAGGGUGACCCCCCACACUGGCACUGACACACGGGCCAGACUCCUACGGGAGGCAGCAGUCGGGAAUAUUGCCCAAUGGACGAAAGUCUGAGGCAGCAACGCCGCGUGCGCGAUGAAGGCCUUCGGGUCGUAAAGCGCUUUUCGGGUGGAUGAGCAGGGACAGUACACCCGGAAUAAGGUACGGCUAACUACGUGCCAGCAGCCGCGGUAAAACGUAGGUACCGAGCGUUAUCCGGAUUUACUGGGCGUAAAGCGCGUUCAGGCGGUUUGGCAAGUCGGGCAUGGAAUCCUUCGGCUCAACCGGGGGAGGUUGUCCGAUACUGCCGGACUAGAGGGCAGUAGAGGGUGGUGGAAUUCCGGGUGUAGUGGUGAAAUGCGUAGAGAUCCGGAGGAACACCAGUGGCGAAAGCGGCCACCUGGACUGUACCUGACGCUCAAACGCGAAAGCUAGGGGAGCGAACGGGAUUAGAAACCCCGGUAGUCCUAGCUAUAAACGAUGUUGACUAGGUGUCGACGGUCUAAACCCCGCCGGUGCCGGAGCAAACGCAUUAAGUCAACCGCCUGGGGACUACGGCCGCAAGGUUAAAACUCAAAGGAAUUGACGGGGACCCGCACAAUCAGCGGAGCGUGUGGUUUAAUUCGAGCUACGCGAAGAACCUUACCAGGGAUUGACAUGACGGUAGUAGUGAAGCGAAAGCGGAACGACCCUUCGGGGAGCCGUCACAGGUGAUGCAUGGCUGUCGUCAGCUCGUGCCGUGAGGUGUUUGGUUAAGUCCACUAACGAGCGCAGCCCCUAGCGCCAGUUACACGUGUCUGGCACGACUGCCGGUAUUAAGCCGGAGGAAGGUGGGGAUGACGUCAAGUCAGCAUGUCCUUUAUACCCUGGGCGACACACACGCUACAAU
rnacentral:rRNA from 1 species